AACGAACGCUGGCGGCAGGCCUAACACAUGCAAGUCGAGCGAGGACUUCGGUUCUAGCGGCGGACGGGGGAGUAACGCGUGGGAAUGUGCCCUUCUCUACGGAAUAGCCCUGGGAAACUGGGAGUAAUACCGUAUACGCCCUUUUGGGGAAAGAUUUAUCGGAGAAGGAUCAGCCCGCGUUGGAUUAGGUAGUUGGUGGGGUAAUGGCCUACCAAGCCGACGAUCCAUAGCUGGUUUGAGAGGAUGAUCAGCCACACUGGGACUGAGACACGGCCCAGACUCCUACGGGAGGCAGCAGUGGGGAAUCUUAGACGAUGGGGGCAACCCUGAUAUAGCCAGGCCGCGUGAGUGAUGAAGGCCUUAGGGUUGUAAAGCUCUUUCAGCUGGGAAGAUAAUGACGGUACCAGCAGAAGAAGCCCCGGCUAACUCCGUG
rnacentral:rRNA from 1 species